rnacentral:snRNA from 1 species
GUGCUCGCUUCGGCAGCACAUAUACUAAAAUUGGAACGAUACAGAGAUUAGCAUGGCCCCUGCACAAGGAUGACAGGCAAAUUCAUGAAGCGUUCCAUAUUUUA